AGGGCUUGACAUGCAGCUGCACGUCCGGUGAAAGUCGGAUUCCUUUGAGGGUGCUGCACAGGUGGUGCAUGGCUGUCGUCAGUUCGUGCCGUGAGGUGUUGGGUUGAGUCCCGCAACGAACGCAACCCUUGUGUUUAGUUGCUACCGGAGGUGAUGAGCCUUCGGGCACUCUAGACAGACUGCCCGUGUAAGCGGGAGGAAGGUGGGGAUGACGUCAAGUCAGUAUGUCCCUUACGUCCUGGGCUGCACACGUGCUACAAUGGCAGGUACAGUGAGAAGCGAAACCGCGAGGUGGAGCAAAUCUCCAAAACCUGCCUCAGUUCGGAUUGGAGUCUGCAACUCGACUCCAUGAAGC
rnacentral:rRNA from 1 species